GUCUCUACUACAACUGCUCUUUCUACCUGUCUGGCACCCGUUCUUCCUUCAAACAGAACCCUAGUUUUCCUUCAGGAACCCUCAUCCUUGCCCUUAUCAGUCCACACGAUUAAGCGUGAAGCUUAUUCAUGAAGAGACCUCUGCCUGGCUCUGCAGUGGAAGUGGAUGCAGAAGUUUCUAGAUAGUUUUGAGGAGAAUCUUUGAAGUCUUCAAAUGGAGCCUCAAAAAUUUCCUUUCAGACAAUGAAAACUUCUUUCCAGG